UCCCCUACCAAAAAAAAUUCUCGAAAUAAUACCUUGCUUCAAAAUGGGACCAUCCGAGCUUCCAAAACUCCUUUUUAGAAAACGAACUCGGCGAUGCUGGGCAGGGGCCGGACCGGAGCGCAGCCCCAAAGCGCGGAGGAACCGACCCCACCCCAGCCCGGGCGGCGUCCCCGGCUGCGGCCCUGCUAGGCCGGUACAGCGAGGCGCCUGCCAGGGGCGCCCUGGAGGCGGAUUUCGAGUCGGAUGCUGCGCGCCAGAAGCCGCGGGUCCCUUCCCUCGGGUCGCGGCUCCCGAGGCGGGUCCGCACUUCACCUUCUAGGUGAACUCUCCUGGAUCCUCGGCCUCCAGGGCCCCGGGCCUGCACGGUCCCCGGGCCAAGGGCUCGGUCCCGGAGGGCGGAUCGGCCCAGUGCGCUGUGUGCGCAGCUCCGGAGACGGCACCGACUCUGCGGCCUCGGACGGGGCUUGCGCCCGGACGCGUAAGGCGAGGUCGUGGUGCCCAGAAGGCCCCGCGGGAACCCUAGGGGCGGCCGGUGGCGAGCCCAGCAACCGGCGCGGAGAAGCGGGAGCCCGGCGCCCCCCUCGCGAGGAAGGCAGCGGUGCGCGCUCCGGACCGACCCGACCCGACCCGGCCGGCACCCGGGACCAGCGCCCAGCGCCCAGCGCCCAGCGCCCUGUGCGUACCCGCUGCGCACCGAUGCGGCCCCGCGGGCCGGGUUCCCGCCACGUCCCGAGCCGAGCCCCGAGUGCGCUCGCCGCGGCUCCGCCGUCCCCGUCCCCGUCCUGUCCCCGCUGCUGGCGGGGCCCGAGGGGCAGGGGCGGGGACGGGGUACGCGUCCUGGCCCUGUCUAACCGCGGGCGGAGGCCGAGGCAGGAAUGCCCAUCCUAUCACCUGCGCCCGGAACCAGGCUCGCAGUCGGGAACAGAAGAGCGGAUCCGGACGGCGACGCGCCCGCGGGCUACCUCGGGGCAGAGGAGAGCUCAGGUCAGCGCGUCGCAGGCUUCACUCCGGGGCUCUCGCUAAGGAAAAUGAACCCGUCCUCCAGGUCCCCGCGCCCCAGAGCCGCCGGAGCGCGCGGCUGCGCAGCCCGGGAUACAGAGCUGCUGCUCCGGGGGGCGGCGCCCCGGAACCCGGCUGGGCUCGGAUUUCCGAAGCUGCAAUCUCUCUGCGCUGCGCAGACCAGCGCCCGCUCCCCUCCCGGGCCGGGCUGCGCGGGCCGGAAACCAGAAUCAGAUCAAUGCUCCUGUGAUCAGGGCGGCAGCCGAGGGGCCGCGGACCGAGACGCGUGAAGCCCGCGCCAUCGCCCACGAGGAACCCGAAGCACUGCGUGCUGCAAGCAUGCACGAGCGAGAACGGACUGAACUGUAACAAACAGCCACAGAGCUGCUGACCAAACCCAGAAGAAUUGUGGUCUCACCCUCGGAACCCAGGAGUCUGAAAUCCAGGUGUUGGCAGGGCGAGCUUCCCUCUGAAGGCUCUCUCCACACCACGAACGAUGACACCGCCCGAGUUUAUUGGAAGCAUAGCCCUGGACCCCCGUCCGUAAUUCCUGAGUCACAGCUGUUUAAC
ensembl:lncRNA